AUGUUGCACAGUUGUAUCUAAAAGAAGGGAUGGGGUGGUUAAUGUUGCACAGUUGUAUCUUAAAGAAGAAGGGAUGGGGGACGGGUGGUUAAUGUUGCACAGUUGUAUCUUAAAGAAGGGAUGGGGUGGUUAAUGUUGCACAGUUGUAUCUUAAAGAAGGGAUGGGGUGGUUAAUGUUGCACAGUUGCAUCUUGAAGAAGGGAUGGGGUGGUUAAUGUUGCACAGUUGUAUCUUAAAGAAGGGAUGGGGUGGUUAAUGUUGCACAGUUGUAUCUUAAAGAAGGGAUGGGGUGGUUAAUGUUGCACAGUUGUGACAUGCUGUGAUACAGCUAACACUGGUUCUUUUAGAAGAAAGACAAUGUAUCGUCCAACAUCUGAUUCCAUUUUUUUGUCCAGACACAAGUCACCCAGCUGAAAAUAGGAUUGUGUCUGUUUAUAGGGUAGGUAACUGCUUAAUUGAUACAUUAACAAUUUGAAUACCAACAGGACAAUGUCCUUUUGAUUCACACGUUUGGACUGCCAAUCAUGUUGGGCCUACACCUCCUUCAAAGAUAAAAGCCUGGCAGUGUAGCUUAACUUAAAUUAACUUAGUAUUAAAAGUUCAAUAUUUAGGGGAUCAGAUACAAGCACUACGCCUCCAGGGCCCCCAUCCGUCAGAGUGAUUUUAGCGCUAUGACAGUCAUGAGUCAAUGUUAAAGUGUAGGAGUUAUGAUCACCUUAUCGCUAAGCUGCUUUGUGGAAUAGACCACAAGAUCCAUGUACCUCCCUUAAUUUCAAAUGUUGAUGAACUAGGGUUAAGGAUGUGGGUAUUAAAAUGUUCAUCGUUAUAACACAAAUUAAGAAUGUGGAGUGUUUUGGUCUGUCCAUUAUUUACAGCGGUGUUAGAAUACUGAACAUAAUUCAAACAGAUUUACACGUUUGCAUAAUUGUUGUUUCUCCUCCAUAAUAUAGCGCCAGAUGUACAUGAGCUGUUAAUUAGCAUGGUUCCAGUGACGAUGCCUGAGUUCUAACCAUCAUGUCAGCCGAUAUUUUUCAUUAGUAUCUAACUUCAUUAACCUCCAUAUGUUUGUUCCAUGAAGGGUUUCAUCAAUUCAUCAAUUGGGUUCUGAAGCCUGGUGUAAAUUUAGCACUUUUAUGUGUGUGCUAUUUAUUUCACAUGUGUUAUCAGUUGAAUGCCUAUGCAUUGUUUGUGGUCACAAAGUUGGGUUUUGAAAAACCAGGUAGUCAGUACUUGUGAAAUAGGGCAUGUUACAUUUAAACAAUGAAAGUUCAUUGAACAUUGUGAUGAAGGCAUGCAUAGAUACACACACACUGGUAACUCAACCUGGCUUGUGGCUUUGUGGUAUCGGAAUACAGAUCAAUCAGUGAUGUUGACCUGAUUUAACAGGAUCUGUUUCUUUCUAAAUCGGUUACUUAUGUAAGGAUUUUGUCAACGUUUAAUCUGUGUGUAGAGUGCUUGUUCUUUGAGAGGUAACAAAACAUCAAUGGUUACAUCUAGGUAGGAACUUUGUCCCCAGGGAGACUAACUUUAUUCAUCAUUCCAAUUUAGUAACAUUUUGCAGUGCUAGAUGAGUUUGACUAAAAUUAAUGUGCUAUGUCAAUCUUCAGUCACAGUGAAAUAUAUUUCAUAUAUGCAUAAAACCUUUCUUUACACAUUUCUUGCACUUCAUUUAUGUGAAUUUACAUAUCUAAUAUCGUGUGAAGUAUUACAUUCAUGUUUUGUCUAUAUGUAUUUAUGAUUGUCGGAAAGGAAUUUUCUUGUUUAAUAUUGUACUAUUGCAGAGAUUUAUAAAGAUUUUAAUUUGUUUUAUUUUUUAUUUUCAUUUGUAUAGAUGGUAUUGAAGGGCGAAAAGACCAUGAUGAAGUAUGAUACAGGUGUUUGCAAUAUAGGGUUUUAUUGAUACUAAACAUGUUUGCCACUUCAUUCCUUAUACCACUGUUUCUGUUGUACCUACAGAGGACUCAUUGGACUAUUUGUGUUGGUACAGUGUGUACAUUAAACUACAACAGUGUACAUAGGUGUCCUGUUGUUGUACACACCUGUAGUCAUGUUCCUUGUUGUGUGUCCUAACACCAUUCAGUUCUGUUACAGAGGACGUUCAAUCGUAUAUUGCCAGUUAUGAAUGAAAACGCAAUUGUGAUCAAUUAAUUAAUUAAAAAGGUAAUUUAUGGUUA
rnacentral:lncRNA from 1 species